rnacentral:tRNA from 4 species
AGGGGCGUAGUUCAAUUGGUAGAGCGUCGGUCUCCAAAACCGAAUGUUGGGGGUUCGAGUCCCUCCGCCCCUGCCA